rnacentral:rRNA from 1 species
UACGUAGGGGGCAAGCGUUGUCCGGAUUUAUUGGGCGUAAAGAGCUCGUAGGCGGUUUGGUAAGUCUGGUGUGAAAUCUCCACGCUCAACGUGGAGGGGCCACCCGAUACUGCCAUGACUGGAGUCCGGUAGAGGAGUGUGGAAUUCCCGGUGUAGCGGUGAAAUGCGCAGAUAUCGGGAGGAACACCAAUGGCGAAGGCAGCUCGCUGGGACGGUACUGACGCUGAGGCGCGAAAGCGUGGGGAGCAAACAGG